rnacentral:rRNA from 1 species
GUCUACGGCCACACCUAGGCGAAAACACCAGUUCCCGUCCGAUCACUGCAGUUAAGCGUCUGAGGGCCUCGUUAGUACUAUGGUUGGAGACAACAUGGGAAUCCGGGGUGCUGUAGGCUUUC